GCAGCUGCCUGUAGCAAGUAACGCCAUCACGGUAAAAACAGUGGGAGGAGAGAGGGGGAGAGAAAGAGAGAGACGGGGAAGACUGGGACACACGUACUGUCCCCACGGUCUUUUAAAGUAGAUUUCUACAAGAGAACGUCCGGAACUGGAAAAGUGGGCUACAUUUUGAAAGGGUAUUUUUGACCACCGUAACAAGAUGUGUACCCCGCGCUGUAUAGGGCAGCUGGCGUGCUGCUGUGGCUCGGCAGCCUGCUCCUGUUGCUGUGGAUGCUGUCCUAAAAUCAAGCAGUCCACA